GAUGAACGCUGGCGGCGUGCCUAAUACAUGCAAGUCGAGCGAACGGACGAGAAGCUUGCUUCUCUGAUGUUAGCGGCGGACGGGUGAGUAACACGUGGAUAACCUACCUAUAAGACUGGGAUAACUUCGGGAAACCGGAGCUAAUACCGGAUAAUAUUUUGAACCGCAUGGUUCAAAAGUGAAAGACGGUCUUGCUGUCACUUAUAGAUGGAUCCGCGCUGCAUUAGCUAGUUGGUAAGGUAACGGCUUACCAAGGCAACGAUGCAUAGCCGACCUGAGAGGGGGUUGGGCGACGCUGGAACGAGAAACCGGGCCAGACCCCAAGGGGGGGCCGAAGGGGGGAAUUUUCCGAAAGGGGGGAAAGCCUGACGGAGCAACGCGGGGUGGGUGAUGAAGGUCUGCGGAUCGUAAAACCCUGUUUUUGGGGAAAAAAAAAUGUGUAAGUAACUGUGCAAAUUUUGAGGGUACCUAAACAGAAAGCCACGGCUAACUCCGU
rnacentral:rRNA from 1 species